UAGACCUUUAAUCGGAGUCCUGUGAGGCUUCAAAGGUGCGGAUAAAUUCUCAAUACUCUUUCCAUAGUUAGGAUUGGGCAGAGGAAGAGACGACUUUGGAGCAGGGAUUCCAAGGUCGUUUUUUCUU
rfam:Lactobacillus reuteri DSM 20016, complete genome.